rnacentral:rRNA from 1 species
GGUGGAGCAUGUGGUUUAAUUCGAAGCUACGCGAAGAACCUUACCAGGUCUUGACAUCUUGCGCUAACCUAAGAGAUUAGGCGUUCCCUUCGGGGACGCAAUGACAGGUGGUGCAUGGUCGUCGUCAGCUCGUGUCGUGAGAUGUUGGGUUAAGUCCCGCAACGAGCGCAACCCUUGUUACUAGUUGCCAGCAUUUAGUUGGGCACUCUAGUGAGACUGCCGGUGACAAACCGGAGGAAGGUGGGGACGACGUCAGAUCAUCAUGCCCCUUAUGACCUGGGCUACACACGUGCUACAAUGGACGG